UAGCUUGCUAUUAUCUCCUUGGAAUUCCUCUUGCUGCUGCUCUUGGAUUUCUUUUUCAUUGGGGCUUGCAGGGAAUAUGGAUUGGGAUGAUAUCUGGUUACAUUGCUCAAACAUUGGUUCUCAUAACCAUUGUUUGUAAGACCAACUGGAAGGGUCAGGUUAUACAAGCGGAAAAA